GAAAUGCGAUAAGUAAUGUGAAUUGCAGAAUUCAGUGAAUCAUCGAAUCUUUGAACGCACAUUGCGCCCGCCAGUAUUCUGGCGGGCAUGCCUGUCCGAGCGUCAUUUCAACCAUCAAGCCCCCGGGCUUGUGUUGGGGACCUGCGGCUGCCCGCAGGCCCUGAAAACCAGUGGCGGGCUCGCUGUCACACCGAGCGUAGUAGCAAUCACCUCGCUCAGGGCGUGCUGCGGGUUCCGGCCGUUAAACAGCCUUACAAAACCCAAGGUUGACCUCGGAUCAGGUAGGAAGCCCCGCUGAACUUAAGC
rnacentral:misc_RNA from 1 species